rnacentral:misc_RNA from 1 species
AUCAAUAAGAACAGCAAUUGGGUAUAAAGGCUCAUCGAUUGUUGCCAUUUUCCCACUCUAGAUCUUAGAAAUGAAAGGAGAGCAGAUUGUUAUUGAAGCUCGAUCUGUCAAAACACUGUCUCAAACGAAAAGAUCCUUUCUGGUACAAAGAGAGAGAUCCAAAGAUCCUGAAUUUUUUUUUUCUUUUUCUUUUUCUCCAUCUGUAUAUUCAUUCCUACGCAGGCUUAGCUCUGAUUUGAAUUCAAUCCCAAAUCAAACCUAGAUUCAUGCCAAAUGCCCAGCUCACGAAGCUUAAAACAUGCUUUUCUACCAUCUCUCACGAGGAAACUCGCGUUAUAAGCUUUUUUUUUUUUUUGUCCCUGUUAAAAUUCCCCUCAAUUUUCAAUCUCCGGGUUCGAGAAGAAUGCCUAUCAAGUCUUAGAUAUCACUGACGGAAAGCCAGACUCUGAAGAUUUUCAACAAUGCAGAGCUCAGGUAACUCAGUAGCGCAACCCCAGGCCAUAUUGGAGUGGCUUCAAAAAGAGAUGGGGUACAGACCGUUGGGACCCUACAAUGCCUCUACGAACAAAACCCAGUUGCCCUCCGUUGAUGCGCUUCGUAAGAUUUUCCGUGGAAACAUGAUACCGAUUUGGAGUUUCUUAAUAAAGAGAGUGAAAUCCGAGAAAACUGUGGAGAAUAUAAGGAAGAAUAUCAUGGUGCAUGGUGGUGUUGAGAGUGGCAGUUCGGUGAAUUCGGGGAAAGAGGAGACUCGGAGCAAAGGAGGGAGGAGGAAGGAAAAAUUGGUUGGGGAGAGUUCUAGCUCGGCAGGGAGUCGGGAAGCUGCUUUGCAAGAGAGGGAUUUGGCAGCAAAGGAGGUGGAGAGGUUGAGGAACAUUCUGAGGAGGCAGAGGAAGGAUUUGAGGGCUAGAAUGAUGGAGGUAUCAAGAGAAGAGGCUGAGCGGAAGAGAAUGCUUGAUGAGCGUGCAAAAAACAGGCAUAAGCAGGUGAUGUUGGAAACUUACGAUCAGCAGUGUGAUGAAGCAGCAAAAAUAUUUUUAGAGUAUCAUAGACGUCUUUGUCACUAUAUUAAUCAAGCAAGGGAUGCUCAACGGUCAAGUGUUGACUCAUCCAUUGAAGUAGUUAGUAGCUUCGGUGCAAACACUGAGAAGGAGGCUGUCUAUUCAACAGUUAAGGGCACUAAAUCUGCCGAUGAUGUUAUCCUUAUUGAAACAGCUAGGGAAAGAAAUAUUCGAAAGGCAUGUGAAUCUCUUGCAGUUCAUAUGAUUGAGAGAAUACGCAGCUUUUUUCCAGCUUAUGAAGGAAGUGGCAUUCAUUUGAAUCCUCAAUUAGAAGCAGCCAAGUUGGGCAUUGACUUUGAUGGGGAACUGCCCAAUGAAGUUAGAACCGUCAUUGUGAAUUGCUUGAAGAAUCCUCCUCAAUUACUUCAGGCAAUUACUGCAUAUACUUUACGGCUUAAAACUUUGAUUUCUAGAGAAAUAGAGAAAAUUGAUGUUAGAGCUGAUGCAGAAAUCUUGAGAUACAAGUAUGAGAACAACCAAGUAAUGGAUAUUUCUUCUACUGACGUUAGCUCACCACUAAAUUAUCAACUUUACGGCAAUGGAAAGAUUGCAACAGAUGUGCCCUCUAGAGGAAGCCAAAAUCAACUUCUUGAGAGACAGAAAGCUCAUGUUCAGCAAUUUUUAGCUACUGAAGAUGCAAUAAACAAAGCUGCAGAAGCUAGGGACAUGUGUCAAAAGCUCAUAAAACGCUUGCAUGGAAGUGGUGUAGUUUCAUCUCAUUCACUUGGUGUUGGUGGCACAUCACAGAACAUUGGCAGUCUCAGGCAAUUUGAGUUGGAGGUUUUGGCCAAGGAGAGAGAAGCUACUGGACUGAGGGCAAGCUUGAGUACCUUGAUGUCUGAAAUCCAACGGUUGAAUAAGUUGUGUGCAGAGAGGAAAGAGGCUGAAGAUUCUUUGAGAAAGAAGUGGAAGAAAAUUGAAGAGUUUGAUGCACGCAGAUCUGAACUUGAAGCCAUAUAUACUGCAUUACUGAGGGCUAACAUGGAUGCUGCUGCAUAUUGGAAUCAGCAGCCAUUGGCUGCAAGGGAAUAUGCAUCAAGUACUAUCAUUCCAGCAUGUACAGUUGUUGCAGAUAUUGCAAACAAUGCAAAAGAUCUUAUUGAGAAAGAAGUUGAUGCCUUCUCUCGGAGUCCUGAUAAUAGCCUGUACAUGCUUCCUUCAACCCCUCAGGCGCUUUUGGAGUCCAUGGGUUCUACUGGAUCUACAGGACCUGAAGCUCUUGCUGCUGCUGAGAAAAAUGCUGCUUUAUUGACAGCAAGAGCUGGUGCUAGGGAUCCAUCAGCAAUUCCAUCCAUAUGUCGUGUUUCUGCUUCUCUUCAGUAUCCUGCCGGUUUGGAGGGUUUUGACGCUGGUUUGGCAUCAGUGCUGGAGUCGCUGGAGUUCUGUUUGAAACUUCGUGGCUCUGAGGCUAGUGUAUUGGAGGAUUUGGCAAAGGCGGUCAAUCUUGUCCAUAUACGACAGGAUCUCGUUGAAAGUGGUCAUGCAUUGUUAAACCAUGCAUACCUUUCUCAACAAGAAUAUCAAAGGACUACAAAUUAUUGUCUGAGUUUGGCCUCUGAGCAAGAGAAAAUUGUCACAGAGAAAUGGUUGCCUGAACUUAAAACAGCUGUUUUGAAUGCUCAGAAGUGCUUGGAAGAUUGCAAAUAUGUGAGAGGUUUGCUUGAUGAGUGGUGGGAGCAACCAGCAUCUACAGUUGUUGACUGGGCUACUGUUGAUGGGCAAAAUGUUGCUGCUUGGCAUAAUCAUGUUAAGCAACUUCUUGCAUUUUAUGAUAAAGAACUCUUGUGAAUUAGAUAUCUGUGUACCAGUGGUACAGAAAUCUUCUUAUAAUCAUCCGAGUUGCCCAUACCCACGGUUGCGCAAAUGCAUAAAAUUACUUGAAUUGGCACCCUGUGGAUCAUGGGAUAUGCUUGGCAACAAAAGACAUCUUUGAGGGUAUCUUUCAAUUUGGUAUGCAGGGUGAGAGGUGGUUGGAUGCAUUUGAUGGAAGUCGAGGCAUCUUCCAUCAUGGGUAGGGGGAGAUGGUGGUUAGGCAUUUUCCAUUUGGGAUGCAUGUCAAGGCAUUAUCCAUUGGUUCCAUUAUUUAGAAAAUAGAGAGGAGAUGGGGCAAGGAUCUCGAAUGCCUGAAGUUGAGGUGUUUACAAAUGGUUUUUUAUGCCUCACUAAUUUUGUAUAGAAUGGAUAUUCAAAUUAAUUCUUGUAUGAUAGGUCAUGUAUCGUUCUUGGGUGGCGAGUGGGUUUCUUGUGUAUUGUUGUUCACUAGUUUGAUGCUUUUGAAUAUUGCCCAUCAAAGGGUUGUAAUCAGCAAUUUGUAU